AUCGCUUCUCGGCCUUUUGGCUAAGAUCAAAGUGUAGUAUCUGUUCUUAUCAGCUUAAUAUCUGAUACGACUAGCAUUGCUAGUCCAGAAUAUUAAACUGAUUUUUGGAAAUCGUCGGGAUGCUAGGGGCUUGCUCCACUCCUGACACGGGUUGGCCUGGUAUUGCAGUACCGCCAGGAUCGGCCCACCAUAU